UCCCCCUGGCAAUGAACAAAGAGACAUCUUAUUGGUGAUGUUGUUUUUUUUAUAAGUCAGAGGCAGAGAGGGUGGCAGACCUUUGUUCAUCCUAGCUUGAGACCUGGCUUAGUGGCCAAAGCUGUCUUAUGUCUAGGACUCAUAA